CCCUGGUUUAAUGUGAAACUUAAUUAUUCCUUCCCCCCGCUCAAGCCUGGUUUUAUGUUUAAUUGCCCCCCCCCCUCCAACCCUGGUUUAAUGUGCAACUUAAUUAUUCCUUCCCCCCGCACAAGCCUGGUUUUAUGUUUAAUUGCCCCCCCCCCUCCAACCCUGGUUUAAUGUGCAACUUAAUUAUUCCUUCCCCCCGCUCAAGCCUGGUUUUAUGUUUAAUUGCCCCCCCCCUCCAACCCUGGUUUAAUGUGAAACUUAAUUAUUCCUUCCCCCCGCUCAAGCCUGGUUUUAUGUUUAAUUGCCCCCCCCCCCCUCCAACCCUGGUUUAAUGUGAAACUUAAUUAUUCCUUCCCCCCGCUCAAGCCUGGUUUUAUGUUUAAUUGCCCCCCCCCCCCUCCUAUCCUGGUUUAAUGUGCAACAUGGGAUGGGAGGACUAAGUGAGAGUGCUACCAUUUACGCACCCAGCGGAUAGUAUUAAUGUUGUAAACGAUGUCAGAUUGGUGGUAUGACAUGAAAUUUUAUUCAUUAAAAUUCAUGUUGGAGAAAUAUGGGCAAUUUAGUAACAAAUUUGGAAUGCUGUGUAUAGCUCGAGAAGAAAAUGUUACCGGAAAAAGAGUUUACUUCAUUGCCAGUUUGAAUAAGUUUUUGUAUCAUUAUCCAAUUAUGUCUAACCGGCAUUAUUACGAGAUAAUUACAGACAAAUCUACGAUUUACUUCGAUCUCGAGUAUAAUCGAUCAGAUUCUUUUUUUAUCAACGACGAGAAAGGAUUCACUCUUUUCAUAGAAUUAUUGAAACAAUUUCUUCUGGCUAAGUUUCCUAACAUUCAAGCAAAUGAAAUUUAUUAUCUAACGCUGGACGCUUCUAAUCAUAAGAAAUUUAGUCGACACGUUAUAGUUCGAUUAAUUAGUAAAAAUACGGAAUAUAUACACAAUAACAAUUUCGAUGCCUUGCGUGCUCUUAUGCUAGAAUUCAGAGACUUUAUCAUUGGGUUCGUGUUUGGUAUAAAUUACGAUGCAAGUAUGUAUCGAAAUAUUGACAUUUCAAAUGGAAAAUAUUUACGAAAGUAUCAAAAAAACGUCGACAUAUCAGAGCAAGAUCUUUGCUAUGAUAAAUUCGCUUCGGAAUAUUCAACUAAGAAUGCCAAAGAAAUUGUAAUAUUCUUAGCUGAUGGUUUAUUUAUUGAUUACAAAGUCUAUGACAGGAACAGAAACUUUCGGUUGAUGGAUUCUUCCAAAAAGAAUGACGAAUCCAGAAUAUUAAAAUUCAAGCCGAAUCUGUCAGUUUUACCGUUCAAGAACUUAAAGUCUGAUAAUGUUUUGCGAUUCUCUUUUAUAUCAAAACCAUUUUGCAGUAAUAGAAAGUUCAUUCGAUCAGAUAUGAAAAAUAAUAACGCUGAUCUCAAUGAUACUACAAUCGUUGCUGUCAAAAAAGCAUCAUUGUUGAAAUUUGUUCCAGAUGAAUUAACUAUUGAUCAAACAUUAAAUUUGCAGAAGGCCUGUAAAACAAUUGAAUCACUUUCAUUUUCAAUUACUCAAAUAUCUAGAGUUUAUCAUGAUAUAUUUUGUAUCAAUGUUUUCGAACGUUUUUGUAUAAUUGAAAAGAAGUUAAACCGAAAAAACCGUGUAUAUUUUAUAUACAAUAUAAAUAGUUCCGUUAUACGAUUUAAGUGUUUUGAUUGUGGCAAAUCAAAAUUUUCAGAUAUUCCAGUUUCAGAAUUGUGAAUAGUUUUUAAUAAAAGUGAUGGGCACUUAAUCAAAAUAAGCUUUUCAAUUGAUUCUUUAUUACCAACUCAAAAACAUCAAAAUUCCACAUUCCUAUUCUACAAUCAAUUUACUUGAUGUACUCGCCCCCUACCGUCGAACGACGGUCGUCGCGAAUUUCGUUAUCCGGCGACUUUCUACGUUCUUCAACGUGCUCUUAACCUCUCGUACGACAGAUUUGUCUGCUAUUUUUUUUAUUUAUACUUGUUUCUCAUAUUAAACGUUAAAAUUCCCGUGUUUUGAGGACAGAUUAAAUUUUCUUGUAUUUUUUACUUGCAAUAUGCACAUAUUUUGAUAAAUUUUACGACAGAUUACUAUUUUUAAUCAUCUGUCGUAAGUAUAACAAGGGCCAUUAUUUAUACUCUUCAUAAAAUGUUUCGUACACUUAUUUCGUGCCCAAUACCCUAAACACGUAAAUCAACGUUAGAUUACAUUCGAAAAAUAUAUUACUAUCAAUUCUGGAAGAACAAAGAAAAAACCUCAAUUAAUAAUCUCGCAACAACAGCGUUAUCUAUCCAUCAAAUAUCAAAAGCGAACAAAUGACCGAAUGACCGAAAACCUCCUAACAAGAACUUUUCACUUCAAACUAUUCAUCGGAAUCCUAACAGGUCAAAAGCGCAACGAUAUCAAUAACAAAUAAAGUCGAAAAAUAAAACACAUUUUACUUACGAUAAACUUGUUAAACAUACAAAAAACUUAAAUCAAGAUGCCAGCAGAGCUUGAAUCCGAUCGCGAA